rnacentral:rRNA from 1 species
CCUACGGGAGGCAGCAGUGAGGAAUAUUGGUCAAUGGGCGCGAGCCUGAUCCAGCCAAGUAGCGUGAAGGAUGACUGCCCUACGGGUUGUAAACUUCUUUUAUAAAGGAAUAAAUUGAUGCACGUGUGCCUUUUUGUAUGUACUUUAUGAAUAAGGAUCGGCGAACUCCGUGCCAGCAGCCGCGGUAAUACGGAGGAUCCGAGCGUUAUCCGGAUUUAUUGGGUUUAAAGGGAGCGUAGAUGGGUUGUUAAGUCAGUUGUGAAAGUUUGCGGCUCAACCGUAAAAUUGCAAUUGAUACUGGCAGUCUUGAGUACAGAUGAGGUAGGCGGAAUUCGUGGUGUAGCGGUGAAAUGCUUAGAUAUAACGAAGAACUCCGAUUGCGAAGGCAGCUUACUAAACUGCCACUGACAUUGAUGCUCGAAAGUGUGGGUAUCAAACAGGAUUAGAUACCCUGGUAGUC